UUUAAACUGUGUGGCAGGUUCUUGCGUGGAAAUUGGCGACCGGAGCCGCCAGGUACCUCCUCCCGGCGGCGGGACUGCCGCGCCCGGGCCCCCAGCGCCCGCUGACAGGAUGCGUGCGGCGGGGCGCCCGGCCUCGGCCACCGGCAACUAGGAGGGCAGGCGGCAGGCUGCUCCGGGACGGCGGCGGGACCCGGCCCGCGGGCGGGCCAGCGGCACAGCGGAAUUCAAGAUCACACAACCAGCAGCUUCAGUGGAGAAAAACUAUUUUGCUGGCAACUCUUUUUAAAGCACCAUCAUUUCAAAUCAGUGCGCUCUUAAACUAUUGACAGGAGCUUUGACAACAAGACAGGAUGCCUCAUAAAGGCCCCACGUUUAUGAGUUGUGCGUGAAAUAUGUGAGGAAACUGUGUCUGAAGGAGUGGGUUUCCCGUUCGGUGUGUGUCUAUGCAGACGUGUUUGGUGUAUUAAAGGGAUGGCUUCACGUUCAGUCCAGCUG